rnacentral:rRNA from 1 species
ACAUGCAGAGAACUUUCCGAGAGAUGGAUUGGUGCCUUCGGGAACUCUGACACAGGUGCUGCAUGGCUGCCGUCAGCUCGUGUCGUGAGAUGUUGGGUUAAGUCCGUAACGAGCGCAACCCUUGUCCUUAGUUACCAGCACGUUAUGGUGGGCACUCUAAGGGGACUGCCGGUGACAAACCGGAGGAAGGUGGGAUGACGUCAAGUCAUCAUGGCCCUUACGGCCUGGGCUACACACGUGCUACAAUGGUCGGUACAAAGGGUUGCCAAGCCGCGAGGUGGAGCUAAUCCCAUAAAACCGAUCGUAGUCCGGAUCGCAGUCUGCAACUCGACUGCGUGAAGUCGGAAUCGCUAGUAAUCGUGAAUCAGAAUGUCACGGUGAAUACGUUCCCGGGCCUU